GAUGAACGCUAGCGGCAGGCCUAAUACAUGCAAGUCGAACGAGAUUAAGAGGCUUGCUUCUUAUGAAAGUGGCGCACGGGUGCGUAACGCGUAUGCAACCUACCUUAAUCAGGGGGAUAGCCCGAAGAAAUUCGGAUUAAGACCGCAUAAAAACACAGGAUAGCAUUAUCCAAUGUUCAAAUAUUUAUCGGAUUAAGAUGGGCAUGCGUGUCAUUAGCUAGUUGGCGGGGUAACGGCCCACCAAGGCGACGAUGACUAGGGGAUCUGAGAGGAUGACCCCCCAGAAUGGUACUGAGACACGGACCAGACUGCGACGGGAGGCAGCAGUAGGGAAUACAGGGCGAUGAAGGGUACUCUGAACCAGCCAUGCCGCGUGCAGGAAGACAGCGCUCGGAGUCGUAAACUGCUGUGAUUCAGGAAUAAACCUUUCUACGUGUACGAAGCUGAAGGUACCGAAAGAAUAAGGACCGGCUAACUCCGUG
rnacentral:rRNA from 1 species